AUUCUAUUGCAAAGUUGGCCAACGGCAAGCUAUUUUGUCGAGGGGACGGCAACGGCAC
rnacentral:sRNA from 1 species